UGGGGAAUAUUGCACAAUGGGCGCAAGCCUGAUGCAGCCAUGCCGCGUGUAUGAAGAAGGCCUUCGGGUUGUAAAGUACUUUCAGUCGGGAGGAAGGUGUCAAGGUUAAUAACCUUGGCAAUUGACGUUACCGACAGAAGAAGCACCGGCUAACUCCGUGCCAGCAGCCGCGGUAAUACGGAGGGUGCAAGCGUUAAUCGGAGUUACUGGGCGUAAAGCGCACGCAGGCGGUUGAUUGAGUCAGAUGUGAAAUCCCCGGGCUUAACCCGGGAAUUGCAUCUGAUACUGGUCAGCUAGAGUCUUGUAGAGGGGGGUAGAAUUCCAUGUGUAGCGGUGAAAUGCGUAGAGAUGUGGAGGAAUACCGGUGGCGAAGGCGGCCCCCUGGACAAAGACUGACGCUCAGGUGCGAAAGCGUGGGGAGCAAACAGG
rnacentral:rRNA from 1 species